CCGGACUCCAUCUCAAAUUGUUCAAAACUUAUUACGUUAGCUCUUGAAGCAAACCAUUUCAGCGGCACAUUACAUGGAUCUCUUGGUAAUCUAAGACUCCUAAAAUACCUACAUUUAUCUGAUAACAUGCUCACAAAUGAUGCUGCAUCUCCAGAGUUAAGUAUUAUCAACUCUUUGGUAAAUUGCAAUUACUUGGAGAAGGUAUACUUAUUUGAUAACCCUCUAGAUGCUAUCCUUCCGUCAUCAAUUGGGAAUCUUUCUUCAUCUCUUGCAGAGUUGUAUAUGUCGAGUUGUGGGCUAAAGGGAAUUAUACCAAAUCAACUUGGAAACUUAAGCAGCUUGAUUGCCUUGGAUCUGGGUAGCAAUAACUUGGUCGGGUUUAUUCCACCAAUGUUAGAUAGGGCUAGUAACCUCCAACUAUUGGAUCUCAGUAAUAACAAAUUGAAUGGUUCCAUUUCUGGUAGCCUUUGUGAUUUGCACUAUCUGUAUAAAUUAGUUUUGAGCAACAAUCAGCUGUCUGGCAGUUUGCUAAAAUGCUUUGGAAAUAGCACUUCCCUCAGACAUAUAUAUCUAGAUUCAAACCGGUUGAAUUCUAGAAUACCUUCAAGUUUGUGCUAUCUCAAAGACCUAUUAGAGCUUAAUUUGAGUUCAAAUUUCUUAGAUGGAUUUAUACCCAAUGAUGUUGAAGCUUUGAAGGCACUUUCACUUCUAGACAUAUCCCACAAUCAAAUCUCGGGAAAUAUCCCUGUCACUAUUGGGCAAUUGCAAAAUUUGGUUUCUCUUUCCCUUGAUCGGAAUAAACUAGAAGGAUCUAUUCCAGAGCAAAUAAGUCAAAUUGUUUCUUUGGAAUCCUUAGAUUUAUCUCUAAAUAAACUCUCUGGUUCUAUUCCGGUAUCUUUGGAAAGACUUGCAUACCUCAAAUACUUCAAUGUCUCAUUCAAUGAAUUGAGUGGUGAAAUUCCAUCAGCUGGUUGUUUCAAGAACUUCUCAAUUGCAUCGUUCAUGUUUAACAAGGAGUUAUGCGGAAAUUCUAGGUUUCACGUACCACCGUGUCAUUCUACCCACCAUUCGAGGAUUAAAAUACGACUUCUUAUUGCUUUUGCAUCUCUUGGAGCUUCAUUGAUAAUUACUUUUGCAAUUAUUGCAUUUGUCCUUACAAAGCGACAGAGGAAAUUUAGAGUCCCAAGUAUGGCAGAUAUUGGCUUUCCAUGGGAUAAAUUAAGGGUUUCUUAUGAUGAGCUUUCAAGGGCUACUUCUCGCUUUAGCCAAAUCAAUCUCAUUGGUUCAGGGGGUUUUGGCUCUGUGUAUAAAGGGACUUUGGAUGACGGAAUGCUUAUAGCAGUGAAGGUAUUUAAUCAAUCAGAAGAUGCACUUGAGAGCUUUAAUGUUGAGAUUGAAGUGCUAAAGAAUUUACGCCAUCGAAAUCUUACUAAGGUGAUUACUGGAUGUUUUGCCGAAGACUUUAAGGCCUUGGUCCUUGAGUACAUGCCAAAUGGAAGCCUUGAGCAGUGGCUACAUUCACAAAGAAACUUCUUGGAUAUGGCUCAAAGGUUGAAUAUAAUGAUUGAUGUUGCAUGUGGUUUGGAGUAUCUUCAUAAUGGUUACACAAUGCCGGUGGUUCAUUGUGAUUUAAAGCCUGAAAAUGUGCUAUUAGAUGAAGAAAUGGUAGCCCAUGUAUGUGAUUUUAGUGUGACAAAGUUGUUAACUAAGGAGGAGAGCUUCAAGCAUACCGAAACUCUAGCAACUCUAGGCUAUAUGGCACCAGAGUAUGGAUCCACAGGAAUGAUAUCAACACAAUGUGACAUUUAUAGUUUUGGAAUUGUGGUAAUGGAAACAUUUUCAGCAAGAAGGCCCACCGAUGAAACAUUUGGUGAAGAUAUGAGCUUGAAAAGUUGGAUAAGUGAUUCUAUGCUUCAUGAUGUACAUCAAGUUGUAGAUCCCAACUUACUAAGGGCAGAUGAUGAAGACUUCAAUGUGAAAUUGCAGUGUAUAUCCUCCAUAUUAGAACUGGAUUUGCAUUGUGCAGUGGAAUCUCCCCAAAAGCGAUUAAAUGCAGAAGAUGUUGUAGCAAGACUGAAUAAAAUUAAACUUCAAUUUCUAAGAAGUGUUGGGAGCUGAUAAAAUUUGAAGGAAACAGCUGAAAAGCUUACCUUGGAAGGUCUUUGAAGGUGAAAGGAGUCUCACAAAGGACAACAGGUUGCUUGGAAAAUUUGAUCUAACUAGAAUAGCUCCGAUCCAGCUCCAAGAGGAACACCUGAAAUUGAAGUUACAUUUGAAGUUGAUGCUAACGGCAUCCUGAACUUUAAAGCCGAAGACAAGGCCUCUGGGUGAUCUGAGAAGUUUACCAUCACUAACGAUAAAUGCCGCUUGAGCCAAGAAGAAAUUGAGCGGAUUGUGUUACUGUAAUUUUAUUAACAUGUUCAGCUUUGAAUCACCGGAUGAGUUUUCUU